GCAUUGGUGGUUCAGUGGUAGAGUUCUCGCCUGCCAUGCAGGAGGCCUGGGUUCGAUUCCUGGCCAGUGUA